rnacentral:misc_RNA from 1 species
GAUGAAGAACGCAGCGAAAUGCGAUAAGUAAUGUGAAUUGCAGAAUUCAGUGAAUCAUCGAAUCUUUGAACGCACCUUGCGCCCUUUGGACAUUCCGAAGGGCAUGCCUGUUUGAGUAUCAUGAACACCUCAACUCUCACGGCUUGUCCGUGAUGAGCUUGGACUUUGGGGGUCUUGCCGGCCUGUGGUCGGCUCCUCUCAAAUGGAUCAGCUUGCCAGUGUUUGGUGGCAUCACAGGUGUGAUAACUAUCUGCGCUUGUGGUUUUCCAUCAGAUAACCUUCAGUGAUAUGGAGGUUCGCUGGAGCUCACAAAUGUCUCUCCUUAGUGAGGACAGCUCUUUGAACGUUUGAUCUCAAAUCGGGUAGGACUACCCGCUGAACUUAAGCAUAUCAAUAAGCGGAGGA